AAAGAUUGUGUUCCUCGAGCAGAUCCGACAGCGCCAGAGCUGUAAAGGCAUCGCUGCAGUUCUGCUCUGACACCCGGACCCAGCACUGCAGUUGAAGCACCAAGGAGCUACCAUCAUCACGUGCCAUCAUAGCACAGUGGGAACUGAAAAGGAAAUCAGAUAUUCCACACAGUCCGAAUGGAAGAAUUUUGCUGUGGUGCACUUUUCGAUUGGGCUUCUACAGUUAACCUUCAGAAAUCUCUCACUUCCUCCUCACUUCUUAUUCCUUAAUAACAUUUUCACUAUGAGCACCUUUAUAUUGAAUUGCUGUAGUCAAAACAGAACCAAAAAGAUUUUAACACAGGCUCAAAACAACGAUUCCUCCUCCUCCGUCUCCAUCUCAGGCAGUGGCGAUAUGCCCACAGAUUACUCAAAGGUAAUGUUCAGGGGUGCAACAAUGUAUUAGGGGGGGAAAAGGAGCUUUUGCCUUCUCUUGCCUUUAGAAGGAUCAGAUGUGCUAGAUUCAAUUCACUGUGAAAUGUUUUACAAUGAUUACGUGCACUGCAGACCUCAGUAACUUUCUCCAAAGUACUUCCUGAACAUCACAGCACUCUUCUAGCUGCGGUUUGCUUGCCUGACAACUUCUAUCUGCUUUUUGCUCUUUUCCUCCACGUUGUGUUUCUGUUUUUGUUUCCCCCUGAAAUGUAGCCCAAUAAACACAGAUAAAAG
rnacentral:lncRNA from 7 species